AGUCCCAGGGUGCACUGCACCUU
rnacentral:miRNA from 1 species